rnacentral:rRNA from 1 species
GGCCUUUUGAAUUUAAUUUAAGGUCUGACCUGCCCAGUGAUGAAUUUAACGGCCGCGGUAUAUUGACCGUGCAAAGGUAGCAUAAUCAUUAGUCUUUUAAUAGAGGGCUGGAAUGAAUGGUUUAACGAGGAACUAGCUGUCUCAUUUUAUUUGUUUUAGAAUUUAAUUUUUUAGUUAAAAAGCUAAAAUUUUAUUGGAAGACGAGAAGACCCUAUAGAUCUUUAUAUAAUUUUAUUUAUUUAUUUAUAUAUUAAUGUAAUUAUAUUUAAAUUAUAUUUUGUUGGGGUGACAAAAAUAUAUAAUUAACUUUUUCAUUUAUUUACCAUUUAUAUAUGAGUAUUAGAUCCAUUUUUAGUGAUUGUUAGAAUAAGUUACCUUAGGGAUAACAGCGUAAUCCUCCUCCAGAGUUCAUAUUUACAGGAGGGCUUGCGACCUCGAUGUUGGAUUAAGAUAGUAAUUAGGUGUAGCCGCUUAAUGUAUAGGUCUGUUCGACCUUUAAAUUCUU